rnacentral:lncRNA from 1 species
GCAUGGCCUGCACCACUUCAGCGAGGCCUUUGACCUACUGGGCCAGUAAGUCGAAUUGUUCCGUGCCAACCACCAUAGCCGGAGGAGGGGGAGGAGGCUGGGAAACUGGAGGUGAGGUCGGAGGCUGAGAUCUGGGCAUGGAGGCUGUGGAUCACCGUGUGGAUGCUUUACAGGGAGGCAUUGGGCGAAGACCUAGUGAGGGAAGG